rnacentral:rRNA from 1 species
GACGAACGCUGGCGGCGUGCCUAAUACAUGCAAGUCGAACGCAGUUGCGAACGGGUGAGUAACGCGUAGGUAACUGCCUCAUAGCGGGGGAUAACUAUUGGAAACGAUAGCUAAUACCGCAUACUGUGAGAUGGACCUGCGUUGUAUUAGCUAGUUGGUGAGGUAAAGGCUCACCAAGGCGACGGUACAUAGCCGACCUGAGCGGGUGAUCGGCCACACCUGGACUGAGAAACGGGCCCGACGUCUACGGGAGGGAGGAGUAGGGAAUCUUCGGGAAUGGACGGAAGUCUGACCGAGCAACGGCGCGUGAGUGAAGGAGGUUUUCGGGUCGUAAAGCUCUGUUGUUAGAGAAGCGUUAACUACCCAGAAAGGGCCGGCUAACUACGUGCCAGCAGCCGCGGUAAUUC